GACGAACGCUGGCGGCGUGGAUAAGACAUGCAAGUCGAACGGGAUUACUUUUGGUAGCAAUACCGAAAGUAAUUCAGUGGCGAACGGGUGCGUAACACGUGGGCAAUCUGCCGAAAAGUGGGGGAUAGCUCGCCGAAAGGCGAAUUAAUACCGCAUGUGGUGAGGGACGACAUCUUCCUGAAUCCAAAGCCGGGGCAACCUGGCGCUUUUUGAGGAGCCCGCGGCCUAUCAGCUUGUUGGCGGGGUAACGGCCCACCAAGGCUAUGACGGGUAGCUGGUCUGAGAGGACGACCAGUCACACUGGAACUGAGACACGGUCCAGACACCUACGGGUGGCAGCAGUCGAGAAUUUUUUCUCAAGUGGGGGAAACCCUGAAGGAGCGACGCCGCGUGGAGGAUGAAGGC
rnacentral:rRNA from 1 species